UCACAAGUUCUAAAACCUCAUCAAUCCUUU
rnacentral:piRNA from 1 species